GUACGGAGGACAUGAGCACAGCCGCACUCUUGUGAAUCCUAGCAACUGGUCUUCAGAGGCAUGUCUUCCAUCUCCAGCACUGAAGGCAGAAAAUAGCCACUGUUACAGGAGUCAUGCUGCAGGAAUAUCGUUGAACCGCCAGGCUCCAGGUACUAUGACAACCAGGGCCAGGACUGGCUGGUAUAAGUUUCUGAUUUAAAGAUGAAGAUGGCAGAGGAAUGCAGAGCAGGAUCCUUGAUGUUCCCCAUCAACACCCCACACCCUGGGUUGCAGUCUUCCCUAAUAUGGUAUACAUAGGCUAUAGAGCUUCACCCCCACUUUGAGGAUGAGGAAGGCAUGGCCGGUUUCAUCUAUCCAGCCACAAAGGCCCAGCAACCCUUUUUCGAGAAAAAAGACACAACAAAAGAUUCUGGAAAAUACUAAUUCGCAGCCGGGUACCACGCUGGCCCUGCAUUGUAUAUACGAGGUCCAGCUGGCUGCUGUUAAAAGGAAAAGCCACCAGGGUGCCUCUCAGUACCAAACUACAGCUCCUUGCUAUCUUAGGCCUGGGUGAUAUAUCGCCCGGGACCGGUAAUGAGGGACAGACCACGAUGGUGGUUUCUCUAGGCAGUAUAUCGCUAGUAAAACCACCAGCGUUGCCAGUUCUCUCUAGCAUGCUGAGGAAGAAAUAAGCUAGACUCGCAUGGGUAGGCAAACUAAGGCCUGGGGGCCGGAUCUGGCCCAAUCGCCUGCGGACGGUCCGGGAAUCAGUGUGUUUUUACAUGAGUAGAAUGUGUCCUUUUAUUUAAAAUGCAUCUCUGGGUUAUUUGUGGGGCAUAGGAAUUCGUUCAUUCCCCCCUCCCCAAAAAAAAUAGUCUGGCCUCCCACAAGGUCUGAGGGACCGGCCCCCUGCUGAAAAAGUUUGCUGACCCCUGAGCUAGAGGGACACAGGAGCUGCAGCGGUUUUGCCAGCGCUAUACUGAGUGAAACCGCCAUCGCAGUCUGCCCCUCAUACCAGUGCAGAGGGAGAAACAAGACACAAUACAGCUUGUUCCUCCCUCAACUGCUUGGCUGCCCUUGCCUCAGCCGAGCUGUUUUACGGAGCCUCCGUCCUGCCAGCGGUGGGAUGGGGGCUCCGUUAAACAGCUCCUGCUUGGCUGUGAGGUGAGUCGUGGCUGCUGGCUUUGUGCUUCCCAGCUGAAGAAGUCUAACAGAGACCCCACCUCGCCUCCGGCUUGCGCAAGAUGGGGGGCUCUCUUAGACUUAUUCUGCUGGGGACAGCGGUAGCCAAACACACAGAGCCUGGGUCACGCUCCAUGCGUUUGACUGCCCUUGCUC